rnacentral:rRNA from 1 species
AGGGAAUCUUGCGCAAUGGGCGAAAGCCUGACGCAGCAACGCCGCGUGGGGGAAGAAGGCCUUCGGGUUGUAAACCCCUUUCAGGAGGGAAGAAAAUGACGGUACCUCCAGAAGAAGCACCGGCCAACUACGUGCCAGCAGCCGCGGUAAUACGUAGGGUGCGAGCGUUAUCCGGAAUCAUUGGGCGUAAAGAGCUCGUAGGCGGUUCAACAAGUCGGCUGUGAAAGUCCGGGGCUCAACCCCGGAAUUGCAGUCGAUACUGUUGUGACUUGAGUCCGGUAGAGGAGAAUGGAAUUCCCGGUGUAGCGGUGGAAUGCGCAGAUAUCGGGAGGAACACCAGUAGCGAAGGCGGUUCUCUGGGCCGGCACUGACGCUGAGGAGCGAAAGCGUGGGGAGCAAAC